rnacentral:rRNA from 1 species
UACGUAGGGAGCAAGCGUUGUCCGGAAUCAUUAGGCGUAAAGCGCGCGUAGGCGGCCUUGUAAGUCCGUUGUGAAAGUCAAGGGCUCAACCUUUGAAAGCCGAUGGAUACUGUGAGGCUAGAGUCCGGAAGAGGCGAGUGGAAUUCCUGGUGUAGCGGUGGAAUGCGCAGAUAUCAGGAGGAACACCAAUAGCGAAGGCAGCUCUCUGGAACGCAACUGACGCUGAGACGCGAAAGCGUGGGGAGCAAACAGG